rnacentral:lncRNA from 1 species
CUUCGGCAUUCAGUUCUGAUAUUUAAUUUUCUUGACUUGUUUGAAUCAAAGAAAAGAUGGUUGAAAAAAAAACCAUAACCAAGAAUUUGAUGUGUCUCCACAGGGUGGUUCCAAAUGUUUUGAUGAUGAUGGCCUUCUCAAAAGAACAACUAUUAAUUUCUUUUCAUCUAUUUUUUAUAAUUUUUAUUUGAUAUUAGCUGAAUUUUCCUCUGCUCUGUACAUGUACUUGAAUAGGAACUGUGUGGACUGCAAGUUCUCACAUAAUAAUAGGGAUGUAAACGAGCCGGGCCGAGUCGACUCGCGAGCCUAAAGUUUUGGCCCGGGCUCGGCCCGAUUAAAAUGACCGAGCUUUUUUACGGGCUCGAGCCGGGCCGAGCAAAAGUUCGGCCAAAAAAAAUAGGCUCGGCCCGAGCUUUUGCUCGAGCUUUUUACGGGCCGAGCCGGGCAGGCUCGUUUUCUCCUUAAAUUUUUUUUUUUUUUUUUUAAUAUAUAUAUAUAUAUAUAUAUAUACCUGCUGCCUUUUAAAGGCAGCAGUUCAC